UUUGGGAAUAGCAUAGAGGUACUUGUAAUUGUGUGGUUAGAAAGAGAAAUAUCUGCGUUGAUACAACAACGUAUUGGUCCUGAAUAUGCUGCCCCCCUGGCCCUGCUUCAAGCUAUAGCAGAUGGGACUAAGCUACUUUUUAAAGAAGAUAUUCUGCCAUCCCGAGGAGAUAUUUUUUUAUUUAGCAUUGGACCCUCUGCAGUCAUAUCAGUUUUAUUAAGUUUUUUAGUUAUCCCUUUGGGAUAUCAUUUUGUUUUAGCCGAUCUUAGCAUUGGUGUUUUUUAUGGAUUGCCAUUUCAAGUAUAGCUCCUAUUGGUCUUCUUAUGGCAGGAUAUAGUCAUUUGGAAGCUAAAUAUGGAUUACACAAGACAAACUAAUUGCGAUAUUUGGCUUCUUGUUGUCGAUGUUCCUGAUUUUUGGCUUGUUUACCCACAAGACAUAUACUGA
rnacentral:rRNA from 1 species